CCCUCUCCGCGUUCGUUUGAACAUUCAACGCCCACAAACUCUGAACCGGACAACUCAAUCUGGGUCUUGUUCUUCUUCCGCUAAUCUAAUGCCAAUAGCGAAAUAGGGUUUGGAGUUUUAAUUCUCUAUCUGAUGCAUAAUCUGAGCCCUCUGGACCCCCGGAUUCCGACCAAUCCGGUGCCACCACGAUGUCAACCAGCCCUUGUUGCCACACUCUCUCCCUCCACCCAUCUCCUCCUCCUCUCAAUUGCAGGGUUAGGGGGAGGGUUUUGAAGCCUCCCAUACCCGCCAAAUUCUCUCUCCAUCGAAGCCUACUCGUCAUUCGCCCCCUCUCUUCCUCUCCAACAACUAAAUGGAGAUUUUCGUGCCUUUGGCAUGAAGAGUCUUCAUCUGGAAUACCCGAGUCUGAGCUUCUAGAAGAGAAAUUUUCAGAAGAAUUAGUGAAGCCUGAACUCAAUCGAAUAGAUGCACAGAAAGAUUGGCUUUGCAGACUCAGAAAGUUUUGUGGGAAUCGUGACUGAUGAAUUGAAGUUGUAGCCCUUAAGGGAAGAGUGAUUCUGAAUGCUUUCUCUCUCUCUCUCUCUGUGUAAAAUAACUAUUCUGAUCUCCAUGCAUCAGUUUGGUCGGUGUGGAUGCAUUACUUUGUUGCAGACUGAAAAGGAUUUCUGAUCUCUUUUUUAUAUUUUCCAUGCCAUAGGAACGAUUGUGGUUACAAAUACACUUUUUGGUGCGGAACCUUGGACGGUACCAUGGACAGCAAAGACCAUAGUGCAGGUGAAGCAUUUUCUUCAUGUAACUUGGAUAUUAUGUAACUGUCAUCCUUUAGUUUUGUGUUUUCUGGCUACUAGUUACCAUAGAGAUUCAUGUGUAAAUUGCAAUUAUUGAAGCCAAUCCACUUAACAACUCAUGCUCAGAAUUCCUAGUUUCUGAAAUGACUAUAUAAUCUGUGCUGCUUUCAUUUCUCCACUAUGCCUGUUGCCAUUCCCUUUUGGUUAGAGUAAUACUAUCUCUGCCUACUGGGCUGAAUUUCUUGUCAGAGGGGCACUCUUUACACGUAGGCAUAUACUAGGAGUUGUCUACGUGACAGUUCCGGUCCUUUAGUGUUAUCGGGGGUUCUAGAGUCCACUUUAUAGUCACCUCUAGUUAUGUUAA